GUAUUCUUUCGCGCAUGAACCGCAUCCUGUCCGAACUUCGACGUCGCCGCUCGCCGCUCCCCUAGGGACGCCGCUGGCUUCGUCACGGACUCGCGCCACACAAAGGUGCAAGCUGUUCGAAUCAUGAAAGCCACGGCAUGCCGUGGCUUUUCU
rnacentral:ncRNA from 1 species